CCUACGGUGGGCUGCAGUGGGGAAUAUUGGGCAAUGGGCGCAAGCCUGACCCAGCAACGCCGCGUGAAGGAAGAAGGCUGUCGGGUUGUAAACUUCUUUUAAGAGGGAAGAGCAGAAGACGGUACCUCUUGAAUAAGCCACGGCUAACUACGGGCCAGCAGCCGCGGUAAUACGUAGGUGGCAAGCGUUGUCCGGAUUUACUGGGUGUAAAGGGCGUGUAGCAGGGCUGACAAGUCAGUUGUGAAAUCCCGGGGCCCAACCCCGGGCCUGCAUUUGAAACUGUUGGUCUUGAGGAUCGGAGAGGCAAGCGGAAUUCCUAGUGUAGCGGUGAAAUGCGUAGAUAUAAGGAGGAACACCAGUGGCGAAGGCGGCCUGCUGGACGACAACUGACGGUGAGGCGCGAAAGCGUGGGGAGCAAACAGGAUUAGAUACCCCAGUAGUC
rnacentral:rRNA from 1 species